rnacentral:rRNA from 1 species
UAUAAAGUCUAACCUGCCCACUGAUAAUUAUUAAAGGGCCGCGGUAUUUUGACUGUGCAAAGGUAGCAUAAUCAUUUGUCUCUUAAUUGGAGGCUGGAAUGAAUGGUUGAAUGAAAUAUUAACUGUCUCAUUUUUAAAAUUUUAAAAACUUAGCUUUUAAGUCAAAAGGCUUAAAUGAAUUUAGAGGACGAGAAGACCCUAUAGAUCUUUAUAAUUUAUUUAAUUUUAUAAAAUAGAAAAAUAAUUAAUAAAAUUAAUAUGAUUAUUUUAUUGGGGUGAUAGGAAAAUUUAAUAAACUUUUUUUAUUAAUUAACAUUGAUUUAUGAUUAAUUGAUCCAUUUUUAGUGAUUAUAAGAUUAAGUUACCUUAGGGAUAACAGCGUAAUUUUUUUAGAGAGUUCCUAUCGAUAAAAAAGAUUGCGACCUCGAUGUUGAAUUAAAGGUUAUUUCUAGAUGUAGCAGUUUAGAGUUUAGG